UACGAAGGGGGCUAGCGUUGCUCGGAAUCACUGGGCGUAAAGCGCACGUAGGCGGAUUGCUAAGUCAGGGGUGAAAUCCUGGAGCUCAACUCCAGAACUGCCUUUGAUACUGGCGAUCUCGAGUCCGGAAGAGGUGGGUGGAAUUCCUAGUGUAGUGGUGAAAUGCGUAGAGAUCCGGAGGAACCCCAGAGGCGAAGGCGGCGCCCUGGCUCGCAACUGACGCUCAGACACGGACAGCAUGGGGACGCGGAACGGG
rnacentral:rRNA from 1 species